UACGUAGGGGGCUAGCGUUGUCCGGAUUCAUUGGGCGUAAAGGGCGCGCAGGCGGCCCGGAAAGUCGGAUGUGAAAACUCGAGGCUCAACCUCGAGCGUGCACCCGAUACUGCCGGGCUUGAGGCAGGUAGGGGAGAUCGGAAUUCCUGGUGUAGCGGUGAAAUGCGCAGAUAUCAGGAGGAACACCGGUGGCGAAGGCGGAUCUCUGGGCCUGUCCUGACGCUGAGGCGCGAAAGCUAGGGGAGCGAACAGG
rnacentral:rRNA from 1 species